GAUGAACGCUGGCGGCGUGCUUAAUACAUGCAAGUCGAGCGAACAGAUAAGGAUCUUGCUCCUUUGACGUUAGCGGCGGACGGGUGUGUAACACGUGUGUAACCUCCCUAUAAGACUGGGAUCUCUUCGGGAAACCGGAGAAAAUACGGGAUAACAUUUGGAACCGCAUGGUUCUAUGGUGAAUGUUGGUUUUGCUAUCACUUAUAGAUGGACACGCGCCGUAUGAGAUAGUUGGGAAGUUAACGGCUUAUCACGGCAACGAGACGUAGACGACGUGAGAGGGUGAUCGGCGACACGGGAGCUGAGCCAGGGACCAGACUACUACGGGAGGCAGCAGUCGGGAAUCUUACGCAAUGGGCGAAAGCCUGACGGAGCAACGCGGCGUGUGUGAUAGAGGGGUUCGGCUCGUAAAACUCUGUUAUUAGGGAAGAACAAAUGUGUAAGUAACUGUGCACGUCUUGACGGUAACUAAUCAGAAAGCCACGGCUAACUACGUG
rnacentral:rRNA from 1 species